CUCCAUACAGGCCCCAUCUCCAAAUACGGUCACGCUGGGAUUUGCCCAACAUAAUGAAUUGGAGGGGAGCGGUGGGGCACGAUUCAGUCCACUGCACACCGUUCUCCUCUCCAGACCUCUCACUGGCAAGUCCUUUCAUCUCAAUUUCAGUUCUGUGAGGCCGUCCUACUAUUGUCUAUCACCCUGUUUGAUUUUUUUGUAGCCUCAUCAUUUAUUCAUUACAGUUUCUUAAGUUCUUUUUUUUAGGGAGCUUGUCAUUGCCUAGAAGAGUGCUGGGCACACAAUAGUGAUACUGAAUAUACAACUAAAAUCAUGUAAUAUAGCACAUGAGAUUCUUAAUGCUAAAAUUAAGACUUUUUAACAUGAAAAAUGCUCUUAAGGGCAGAAAUGAAGCAAAUUUCAGGCAAGAUGGCAGACAAGACUGAAACGGAUUCAUCCAUCAACUGCUACAGACUUAAAAAACAAAAUAUGCCCAAUGCAAAGCUGAGCUCAGGAAAUCCUCAGAUGCUAGAGAUAAAGACAAAAUCCAGUUGCAGAAGUGAGUUCCAGGUGAUGCCAGGAGACCCCAGGAAGUAUCAGAUUAGGUCACAAAACUAGGAAUAAGGUUUUAAUGUCUUCAGAAAAACAGAGCAUUUGGUGAGAGAAGGGAACUAAUCCGAGACUCCCGCAUACAACCAGGACACUUGAAGGGCUGCCUCACCUGUGAAAAAGAAACUGGAAAAAUCUCUUCAAAUCUGUCUGUGGAAACAGAAAGACAGCCUGGUGUUUGACAAAGCUCUCGGUGGGACAAACCUCCUCUGAGAAAUGGAAACCUAGGAAAUCAAAAGCCCAGAAAUUAAGGGAAAGCAUUAGUCUCAGAUAAUGAAAAGGAAACCCUUGGGGCCCGGGCCAAAGCAAAUGUAAAAACAUGAACACUUGCAUAAUCUCGUACAUGGGACUCACAGAAAAUGCAACCCCUAAUAUAGAUGAGCUCGCAAUGAAAAAUUAUCCACCACUGUGGCAAUGCAGUCACCAAAAGGAAGACUCAACAGACCAAUGAGCAUAGACACGAGCUGUGGAGGUAACAACUGGAAACAGAAGAAUAAAAUCUCAAGAUAAAUAAUUUAAAAAUACUUAACAUGGAAAAAUAUUUCACUUAAAAAAUAUAACUUUUAGAAAAAAUAUAGUAUCAUUAACUUAAAAAUUCAGUAGCUAGGUUGAACAAUAAAUUCACCACAAAUGAAAAGAGAAUUAGAGAUCUGGAUCACGGAGCUGGAAGAUGAAUGCAGAGGCAGCACAGGGAGGUAAAGCAAUGGAAAAGAUCGCAGGGAGUCCCAAGACCCGGGAUGCUCCCUCGAGUCACUCACAGGAGCUCCAGAGGAAAGGACAGAUCAUGGGGAAAGGCAAUAUUUGAAGCAACAAUGACUGGGAAUUUUUCAUAAUUAAGAAAGAUGUAAAUAUUCAGAGGGAAAAUGCAGAUCUAGACACUUUUCAGAAACACUAUGAAACUCCAAAGUCAAGGAAAAGAUUAAAAGCAACUAGAAACAAAAGACAGUUUACAAUAAAAGAUCCAAAUUAGAUGGAAAUUACAUGUCUCAUUAAUAAAAUAGAGGUCAGAGAAAAGGGUAAAAAAUGUUCAACAUGCUCAAAGAACAAAAGUUAUUCAUCUACAAUACAACUUAGUAAAAUUAUCAUUCAAAAAUAAAGACAAAUCAAAUGUAUUUGACUAAGACUGAAGGGUAUUUUUUUAACCCCUGGAUCAUCAACUUUACCAAAGGAUAAAAUUUAUUAAAAAUAUGAUCAGCUUGUCGAAAGAAUGAAUCAAUGACACUCUGUCUUCGUGGAGAGCAGCCUGGGUGUGGAAUCAGGCACCCCCGGGUUCAAAGCCAUCACUGGCGAACUCACAAAGAGUGGGACUCACCGACCUGAGGGUUUGCCAGCACACUCGUAGCCCGCGGGACUAGAGUAUUUGUGAGAGAGGAGUGUGGUCUUUUGAUUGAAGAACAGAAGUCAUUCGUGAAGGACACAGCACACACAGCCCAGAGAGCUCGCAGGUUAAAACUGCACAUGGAGCAAUGUCUGCCAGCCAUUCAGGGUACUUCAAAAUAGCAAACACAGUAUUCACAAUCAAGUUAUUUAGACCUUUUAGAUUGUAUACAAAUGACAUAGAAAAAUGUACAGCCAGUCCACUGGGUUGUAAUUUUAGAAACAAACAUCUCAAGUCAUAAUAAUAAAGUAGAGUUUUAAAAAGUUACUAGGUUUUCUUUAUUUGCCAUAAGAAAGACUGAACUUCUUAGUAUGUAGUUUGAAGAGUAUUUUCUUUAACUCAUUGAAGCCUACAGAGAAAAUUCAAAUCCACAGAGAAUAAGAGGGUCAUUCUCCAGAUUCUCAUUAGACAAUUUGUGGAAAUGGUGUCUCUCUUCUCACAGUGAACCCUGACUCCUCCAUGACUGCUGGAGAAGACCAAGCAUCGCUAUUUAGGAUGCUCUUUUUUCUGCUCUUUCCAGCUCUAAAUUUCUAGCAUCACCAAUUCCCCUUGCUCCUGGCUCUCUGGACUUUGUGCCCUGCUGCCCUUUGUUGUGAUCUUC
rnacentral:lncRNA from 1 species